AAUGAAUCAAAAUAUUUUUUUUUUAAAUUCAGGACUUGAUAAAAUAAACAGCUGGAAAUAAGCAGACUACUGUAAGAGUGAAUUGAAAAGAAAACCCAAGGUCACAUCUCCCAAGAAGCAGUAAUGUUCCAGCAAUAAGAAAAGGACAGUUUUUUGUCUUUUGCAUGGUGAGCCUUAUGUGAAUUACAUCAAUUUUGUCACCAAUAUCCAUCAUCAGAACAUUUUGCUCACUUUUCUAGGAGAACUAUGGCCACUAUGGAGAAUAUGAAAACAUUGCUAAAGGAGGUGAAAGCGAUUUCAGAAGAGUCAUAUAUUAGCUUUUGGCAGUGACAGCGUUAUGGGCACGGACAUUCAGCCUUUCCAGUUGACUGCUUUGAAGGGGCAAUGUUCACGUGGAAGUAUACCUCCUAGCUCAAGGACACUAGGAAAAAGACGUAAAUAGAAGUAUAUAUUAUCAUCUAGAUGGUGACUCUCCAAGGGGAUGAUGAGGGAACAGAAGUAAUGCUACCCUAAUUCUGAAAUAAUAAAAGCUCAAGCAAUGAAUGGCUGAAUUCACACCUCAAAAUUUCAUGGAAGACAGGCAUACAAAAAUAAGCUUUCAAAAUUGAAUGAACUCAUUACCACAAUUAAAGAAAACAAAAAGAAACAUUUUGCAUAACUGCUGGUUUUGCUGCUCCUUCUGCUAAUUGAGUUUGUCUGGAAGAAUCACUGUGUGGACCACUGAUGCUUCAGUGCACUUAACCAACACCUUUAGAAGAAAACAGGAUAGCUACAAAGGUUCACAAGAAAUGAAAAACCCAAGGCAUCCCUCGCCCUCUCCCUGCAAGUCACCUGCUAUGAAUACCUGCAUUCAUUCUUCAAAGCAUUUAUCACUCCCUGGAAUGCCACAUAUUUAUUACCUGUCUCCACACAUUACGAAUAAGAUGUAUAGAGCAGGAACCUGUCAUUCUUCUCCAUCCUAUCUUCCCAGUGCCUGCCUCAGUGCCUGACACACAGCAGGUGCUCCAAAGGAAUAAAUAAAUUAGGAAAUCCUACCACCUCCUUCUACCAUGUAAUAUCUACUACCCUGGAGUGGAAUGAAAGGGUUAAAAUACCCAAUGACAGCCUCAGGUCUUUCCUUCUUUCCUGUAGGGUGUGGAAACUCUACAGGAAGAACCAACACAAAUUAAAGUGUCUGUCUAAAAAAUCAAUUGGGGCAGGCAUCUUCUUCUGAACUACAUUUACUAGAGCCUGCCACCCACAGAUGUCAAAGGAAUUCACAGGAUUAAAAGAAAAGGCUGGUGGUGAGAAAGUUAAUAACUACUCUUGUGACAUCUAGGGCUGGGCUACAAGUGGUCAGCACAUGGACCUCUCCAUAUAUGUUGUUAGAUGUCAAGGAGUGGCUUUACAGAUAGACAGCCUUGGACCCCAAUGCUAAAUCUUCCACUUAUUAGCAUGGUCAUGGGCAAGUUAUUUAACCUCUCCAAACCUCUAUUUCCUAAUCUCUACCACAGAGAUAACAGUACCUACUUCACAGGGCUGUUACGAGGCUCAAAUGCAAGAAUAUAUGUAAGCAACUAGCUCAAGCCUGGCAUACAAUGGUAACUGCUAUUACUAUUGUUAUAUGAGCUAUUGAUAUUUUUAUCUGAUCCCAGAUAAUACUCAAUAAUCAAAGUUAAUCUCCAUCUGCUUUUCUGAACCAGGAAUUACUGCUUUAUCCUGGGAUUACUAUAAGGUCAAGAUGGCAAGUGAGUUUCAGCUCAUAUUCUGAGUCACAUGGAUUUCAAGUGAAUGCUUGGGGGCUGGUUGAGAUGCACUGUGCUGUGAUUGAUUGUGACAUGUGCCAAGGGUGUGGAGCCAGGCUCGUUGGUUGGUUCUAAUAUUAGAAUUGGUAAGCCUCUUGUAGUAGUAUCACAGAGACUAACAGCUAUUUUAAUAUUAUAUAAUAAAGCAUAGAGAAAUCAAAA